rnacentral:lncRNA from 1 species
AGCCUCAGAGACAUCAUGCAUUGAAGCAUAGCUGUUCAAGUUCAAAGGAGACACUGCACUGGGCCCAACUGGGACAGCACUUCCACAGAGGUUUAACCAAGGAAGAAAGGCACGUCCUCAAUGUGGGUGUCAUUCCAGGGACUGGACUUUCAGACCAAACGAAAAGGGCGAAAAAAGGAAACCAGCUGCGCUCCAGUGUUCAUCUCUCCCUGCUUCCUGACUGCAGACACGAUGCGACCAGCCACUUUGAGGGUCUGCUACCCGGCUUUUCCUGCCAUGCUGGGCUGAUCCCUUCAAACCUCAUGCAGAAUAAAUCCUUCCUCAUUGAAA